rnacentral:rRNA from 1 species
UACGUAGGGGGCAAGCGUUGUCCGGAAUCAUUGGGCGUAAAGAGCGUGUAGGCGGCCUGAAAGGUCAGCUGUGAAAACUCGAGGCUCAACCUCGAGACGUCGGUUGAAACCAUCUGGCCAGAGUCCGGAAGAGGAGAGUGGAAUUCCCGGUGUAGCGGUGAAAUGCGCAGAUAUCAGGAGGAACACCGGUGGCGAAGGCGGUUCUCUGGGCAUGUCCUGACGCUGAGGAGCGAAAGUGUGGGGAGCGAACAGG